UACGGAGGGUGCGAGCGUUGUCCGGAAUUAUUGGGCGUAAAGGGCUCGUAGGCGGUUUGUCGCGUCGGGAGUGAAAACUCAGGGCUUAACCCUGAGCCUGCUUCCGAUACGGGCAGACUAGAGGUAUGCAGGGGAGAACGGAAUUCCUGGUGUAGCGGUGAAAUGCGCAGAUAUCAGGAGGAACACCGGUGGCGAAGGCGGUCUGCUGGGCAGUUGCUGACACUGGAGGCGCGACAGCGUGGGGAGCAAACAGG
rnacentral:rRNA from 1 species